UAGGGAAUUUUCGUCAAUGGGGGGAACCCUGAACGAGCAAUGCCGCGUGAGUGAAGAAGGUCUUCGGAUCGUAAAGCUCUGUUGUAAGAGAAAAACGGUCUCCAUAGGGAAUGAUGGAGAAGUGAUGGUAUCUUACCAGAAAGCCACGGCUAACUACGUGCCAGCAGCCGCGGUAAUACGUAGGUGGCGAGCGUUAUCCGGAAUCAUUGGGCGUAAAGGGUGCGUAGGUGGCACGAUAAGUCUGUAGUAAAAGGCAGCGGCUCAACCGCUGUUGGCUAUGGAAACUGUCGAGCUGGAGUGCAGAAGAGGGCGAUGGAAUUCCAUGUGUAGCGGUAAAAUGCGUAGAUAUAUGGAGGAACACCAGUGGCGAAGGCGGCCGCCUGGUCUGCAACUGACACUGAAGCACGAAAGCGUGGGGAGCAAAUA
rnacentral:rRNA from 1 species